GUGGUUGAAGUUUUCACCAUUUUGUUUUUCAAUGAGGUGCUGUGUUUGACCAUCUCCCAGAUCUCUACUUGUCACAGUACUCAUGAAAUUAAAGACUGAAGCAGAAUCUGCAAGAGUUAUGCUAUAAUACAUAAUAGGUGAGUUCAUGUCUUUUGUGCACUUUGGAGUCACUAGUGCCACUGCCAUGCUCUAACCCAUAAGAACAGAGAAAAGAGGAGGUCAAUCAAAAAUUGAAGAACCAAACCUGGCUUUGGAUCUGCACAGCAGUAACCUCCUGAUGGCCAAAUCUUGGCCAUUCCACCUUAUCCAGCUGCAGCAGAUGCUGGAUAACAUACUCUCUAGUGCCCUGUCUGCACACAGAGCUCAAGUGAAUCCACAUGACUAGAAUUCUAGGAGACAUUUCAG
rnacentral:lncRNA from 1 species